rnacentral:rRNA from 1 species
AUACGGAGGAUCCGAGCGUUAUCCGGAUUUAUUGGGUUUAAAGGGAGCGUAGGUGGACAGUUAAGUCAGUUGUGAAAGUUUGCGGCUCAACCGUAAAAUUGCAGUUGAUACUGGCUGUCUUGAGUACAGUAGAGGUGGGCGGAAUUCGUGGUGUAGCGGUGAAAUGCUUAGAUAUCACGAAGAACUCCGAUUGCGAAGGCAGCUCACUGGACUGCAACUGACACUGAUGUUCGAAAGUGUGGGUAUCAAACAGGAUUAGAUACCCUGGUAGUCCGCACAGUAAACGAUGAAUACUCGCUGUUUGCGAUACACGGUAAGCGGCCAAGCGAAAGCGUUAAGUAUUCCACCUGGGGAGUACGCCGGCAACGGUGAAACUAAAAUGAAUUGACGGGG